rnacentral:lncRNA from 1 species
CGAAGGCUUAAAGUAGGACAACCAUGGAGCCUUCCUGUGGCAAGAGAGACAACAAAGUGCUAUUAUCCUAAGGUCAAGAGAAGUGUCAGCCUCACCUGAUUUUUAUUAGUAAUGAGGACUUGCCUCAACUCCCUCUUUGUGGAGUGAAGCAUCCGAAGGAAUGCUUUGAAGUACCCCUGGGCUUCUCUUAACAUUUAAGCAAGCUGUUUUUAUAGCAGCUCUUAAUAAUAAAGCCCAAAUCUCAAGCGGUGCUUGAAGGGGAGGGAAAGGGGGAAAGCGGGCAACCACUUUUCCCUAGCUUUUCCAGAAGCCUGUUAAAAGCAAGGUCUCCCCACAAGCAACUUCUCUGCCACAUCGCCACCCCGUGCCUUUUGAUCUAGCACAGACCCUUCACCCCUCACCUCGAUGCAGCCGGUAGCUUGGAUCCUUGUGGGCAUGAUCCAUAAUCGGUUUCAAGGUAAUAGCCUGCAGCUGGUGUUUUGAGAAGCCCUACUGCUGAAAACUUAACAAUUUUGUGUAAUAAAAAUGGAGAAGCUCUAAAUUGUUGUGGUUCUUCUGUGAAUAAAAAAAUCUUGAUUGGGGAAAAAA